UGAGGAAUCUUCCACAAUGGGGGAAACCCUGAUGGAGCAACUCCGCGUGCAGGAUGAAGGCUUUCGGGUCGUAAACUGCUUUUAUGAGUGAAGAAUAUGACGGUAACUCAUGAAUAAGGGUCGGCUAACUACGUGCCAGCAGCCGCGGUCAUACGUAGGACCCAAGCGUUAUCCGGAGUGACUGGGCGUAAAGAGUUGCGUAGGUGGCUUGUAAAGUGAAUAGUGAAACCUGGUGGCUCAACCAUACAGACUAUUAUUCAAACUCACAAGCUCGAGAAUGGUAGAGGUAACUGGAAUUUCUAGUGUAGGAGUGAAAUCCGUAGAUAUUAGAAGGAACACCAAUGGCGUAGGCAGGUUACUGGACCAUUUCUGACACUGAGGCACGAAAGCGUGGGGAGCGAACCGG
rnacentral:rRNA from 1 species